CUGGGUUUCGGACCUCGCGUCCACUCACCCGCCCUUUGUCAUAUAACAUCCACAUCAUUUCGGCCCCUGGCUCUCGGGCGCCCUCCCUAUUAACUUAGUGAGGUACCGCCUGUUGGCCGCGGGUCGGCAUUGCAAACCCACGCGGAUUUCUGAAGUCUGAUACAAUUUUUUAAACGAAAUUA
rnacentral:misc_RNA from 2 species